AAAUCAUGAUGUGGGUAGAGUAUCAUCAUGUCCUUAUCUCUCACAUGCCUCAAAAAGGGAUUCACCGUCGGCCUGUCUAAAAUAGGUUAUCUGGUUUAUUAACAC